GACGAACGCUGGCGGCGUGCCUAAUACAUGCAAGUCGAGCGAAUCGACGGGAGCUUGCUCCCUGAGAUUAGCGGCGGACGGGUGAGUAACACGUGGGCAACCUGCCUAUAAGACUGGGAUAACUUCGGGAAACCGGAGCUAAUACCGGAUACGUUCUUUUCUCGCAUGAGAGAAGAUGGAAAGAUGGUUUCGGCUAUCACUUACAGAUGGACCCGCGGCGCAUUAGCUAGUUGGUGAGGUAACGGCUCACCAAGGCGACGAUGCGUAGCCGACCUGAGAGGGUGAUCGGCCACACUGGGACUGAGACACGGCCCAGACUCCUACGGGAGGCAGCAGUAGGGAAUCUUCCGCAAUGGACGAAAGUCUGACGGAGCAACGCCGCGUGAGCGAAGAAGGCCUUCGGGUCGUAAAGCUCUGUUGUUAGGGAAGAACAAGUACGAGAGUAACUGCUCGUACCUUGACGGUACCUAACCAGAAAGCCACGGCUAACUACGUGCCAGCAGCCGCGGUAACAC
rnacentral:rRNA from 1 species